CUUCCUAGUUCACCAACACAUCUGUGCGUUAACAGACGUUUCUAACGGAAGUUGCCAACAAACGCGCAAUCACACUACACUGUAAUAAUUCACCCAGUGACACUGUGAGACUGUACACAUGAAGUUUCCCUCUGAGGCUAAAACACGCUGCUGAAGUUUGCUCUGAUGGAGUUACAGCCCCACCAUGUCCUCUGUCUGUCUGUGAGCUGUGAACGGAGCCAUGGACAGCUCAUCGUCCUCCUCCACAGUGAGGAGGACAGCCUGGAUCAGCAGCAGUCGACAUCGGUCCACUGUGGAGGAACCAGAGAGAGAGCUGAGCUGCCUACCACCAGCAUCUACUUUGGACGACAACGUGUUUUCUGAUGGAUGCCUCCCUGGAAACAUUGAGAAUUGGCUUCUGCGUUGUGGGUCAAAAGCUGGCUCAGAGAAAGAUAGCCAAAGUUCAGGUGAGUAUGAUCAGGUUAAUGAAGGAUGAUAAAAUAAGUAAAUAAAUUAAAAAAAACCCAAAAAAUACA
rnacentral:lncRNA from 1 species